AGUGAACGCUGGCGGCAGGCCUAAUACAUGCAAGUCGAACGGCAGCACAGCAGAGCUUGCUCUGUGGGUGGCGAGUGGCGGACGGGUGAGGAAUACGUGGGAAUCUGCCCAGUCGUGGGGGAUAACGUAGGGAAACUUACGCUAAUACCGCAUGCGCCCUUCGGGGAAAGCCGGGGACCUUCGGGCCUGGCGCGAUUGGAUGAGCCCACGUCGGAUUAGCUAGUUGGCGGGGUAAAGGCCCACCAAGGCGACGAUCCGUAGCUGGUCUGAGAGGAUGAUCAGCCACACUGGAACUGAGACACGGUCCAGACUCCUACGGGAGGCAGCAGUAGGGAAUAUUGGACAAUGGGCGCAAGCCUGAUCCAGCCAUGCCGCGUGAGUGAAGAAAGCCCUCGGGUUGUAAAGCUCUUUGUCCGGAAAGAAAAGCGCCGGGUUAAUACCCUGGUGUCCUGACGGUACCGGAAGAAUAAGCACCGGCUAACUUCGUAGCCAGCAGCCGCGGUAAU
rnacentral:rRNA from 1 species